GGGGUGGGGGGGUUGAGCGCGGUGCCCAGGAACUCUGCUGGCAGAUGUGACACUCAGGAGGACCGGCACUGUUACAGAACCCAUUAGAGAAUGUAAUGUAGUGACCUGGACCGCUGGCAGCACAGCGCCCGGCAGGACCAAGAUAUCAAUGUGGUGAUAUAUCGUAUUGUUUUCAUUUGUGAUACAUUAUCAAUAUAUGGCAUUAAAUAUGUACAGCUCUGGAAAAAGAUGAAACAUUUAAAAAUGAUGAGUUUCUUUGAUUUUACCAAAUUGAAAACCUCUGGAAUAUAAUCAAGAGGAAGAUGGAUGAUCACAAGCCAAAUAAACCAAGCUGAACUGCUUAGAUUUUUGCACCACAAGUGGUAUAAAUUUAUCUAAAAGCAGUGUGUAAGACUGGUGGAAGAGAACAUGCCAAGAUGCACAAAAACUGUAAUAAAAAAACAGUUAUUCCAACAAAUAUUUUCUCAAAAGAUUUCUCAAACUUUAUGAAUAUGAACUUGUUUUCUUUGCAUUAUUUGAGGUCUGAAAGCUCUGCAUCUUUUUUGUUAUUUCAGCCGUUUCUCAUUUACUGCAAAUAAAUGCUCUAAAUUACAAUAUUUUUAUUUGGAAUUUGGAAGAAAAGUUGUCCGAAGUUUAUAGAUUAAAAACAACAAUGUUCAUUUUACAAAUGUUAAAUUUAGCUUGUCGUGAUAAUUAUGUCAUUAAAUUAUCAUACACUAUAUGGACCUAAAUUAUGAAAUAAUUAUUUUUUUGCUGACCUUGAUUUUGCCUUUUGUUAAUACCCAGUGAUAGGAGUCCACCAAAAUGAAAGUGCAGAUGUGCUUGAUGUUGCUAGAUGCUUGGGAUGAGAUCGCAGAUGAUUGUUAUGGUGUUGCUAGGUGGUUGAGAUGGUAUUGCAAGUGAUUUUUAUGAUGUUGCUAGGUGGUGGAGAUGGGAUUGCAGGUGAUUGUUAAGAUGCUGCUAGGUGGUUGAGAUGGGAUUGCAGGUGAUUGUUAAGAUGCUGCUAGGUGGUUGAGAUGAGAUUGCAGAUGAUCGUUAAGAUGUAGCUAGAUGGUAGAGAUAUGAUUGCAAGUGAUUGUUAAGAUGCUGCUAGGUGGUUGAGAUGGGAUUGCAGGCGAUUGUUACAAUGCUGCUAGGUGUUUGAGAUGGUAUCCCAGGUGAUUGUUAUGGUGUUGCUAGGUGUUUGAGAUGGAAUCGCAGGUGAUUGUUAUGGUGUUGCUAGGUGGUUGAGAUGGUAUUCCAGGUGAGUUUUAUGGUGUUGCUGGGUGUUUUAGAUGGUAUCCCAGGUGAUUGUUAUGGUGUUGCUAGGUGUUUGAAAUGGGAUCGCAGGUGAUUGUUAUGGUGUUGCUAGGUGGUUGAGAUGGUAUCCCAGGUGAUUGUUAUGGUGUUGCUAGGUGUUUGAAAUGGGAUCGCAGGUGAUUGUUAUGGUGUUGCUAGGUGGUUGAGAUGGUAUCCCAGGUGAUUGUUAUGGUGUUGCUGGGUGUUUGAGAUGGAAUCGUAGGGAGCUGUAAUGUUAUUAGACACUGUGGCAUUAAUGUGUUAUGAAGCUGGCUAGCAUCGACUCAGAGCACAGAGUAAAACAGUCACUGAUUGGCUUGGCGAGAGUUUGCAGUGUCAGCACUGCUUAAGCCAACAUCACUCUAACGAUUAGCAAACGAUUAGCAGCCGUCUCUCACUGGGGUCCUUUUAGAAUCCAUUUUUAUGCAAAACACUGCAGUUUAAUUGAAUUUGAAAGCACAUUUUCUUUUCCUCUCCAGCUUGGAGCCUGGAAUCAGUUUCCAAUGUGGUAAAACAUUCUGAUCCUCCUAGUUGGGUAUGACCACCAUAUUUUUUUAUUUGUAGUUUUUUCAUGAUUGUAUAAUGAUAUUAAAACAAAUUUAUAUUGCAAUUAUAAUAGUUGAAUAUUUAUAAUAUUAGUUUAUGCCUUUUUAAAUGGAUGUAAUGGGUGUAGAGGUGCAUCUUUGUGGUAUUUAAUUGUCACUGUACCAGUGGCAUAAAAUGAUUAGUAAUUAUAAAUAGCUAUAACAUUAGUCAUAAGACUUACUGACAUAUUUAUAGUUUAAGAUUAAUAGUUUCAGAUAUUUCCAUUCACAAAAAAACAUAUUUGGGUCAAAAUCAUAAAUUAAAUUAGUACAAAAAAAGUAAAAAUCAGAAGUUCUGAUUGGAUUGUGAAGCUCGCUGGAGUUGCAAACAGAUCACAGACGAACUUCAAAGACCCGAGAUCUCAGAACCUCGAGGUGGAGCCCAGUGAUUUCAGUGCGAUGCUGUUACUGGGCCAGGUUGACACUGAUUGGCUGUUGGGUUGAGUUCUGUGUUGUCACUGUUCUCACAGUGUCCUCCAGCCAUUGUCUCUCCUAAACAGAGUGUGAUUGUUGAUGAUGCCGGUCUGAUCUGGCUUUGUAGUUGUUUGUUGCUGUGGAAGAUUUUAACGAGGAGUUCUGAACAGGAACAGGAUUCUCAGGCUGUUCAAUCUGAAGAGCUCAUUUAGAGCAGAGCUGCAUCUGUACCAUCAUGGUAGAAAGAGGUAGAGAGAGGCAGAGUGAGGUAGACUGUGGGUAGAGAGAGGUAGAGUGUUGUGGAAAGAGUUAAAAUGAGGCAGAUCAAGGUAGAGUGGGGUUAAAUCGAGGGUAGGGCAAGUAACAAGGUAGUAAAGUGGAUUGAGGU